UACGUAGGGGGCAAGCGUUGUCCGGAAUCAUUGGCGUAAAGAAGCGUGUAGGCGGCUCGAUAAGUCUGCUGUGAAAGUCCAGGGCUCAACCCUGGAAGGCCGGUGGAAACUGUCGGGCUAGAGUCCGGAAGAGGCGAGUGGAAUUCCCGGUGUAGCGGUGAAAUGCGCAGAUAUCGGGAGGAACACCAAUGGCGAAGGCAGCUCGCUGGGACGGUACUGACGCUGAGACGCGAAAGCGUGGGGAGCAAACAGG
rnacentral:rRNA from 1 species